rnacentral:lncRNA from 1 species
UUAUAUAUAUCUAUAAACCUAUAUGAAGCCACAAUACUUUUUGCCACGUGGCAUGUUAUUCUUACUUCUCAUAGCCAACUUUAAAUCAAACAACCUUCUCCUCUUUUCAACUCUCAAUUCUUCACCUCCCCACUCGUCUAAUUAUAUGUAAGUUACAACAUUUAAUUAUAUGUAACUUUAAAUCCAACUUUAAAUCAAACCACUUUCUUCUUUUCUUAACGCCUAACUCACCUCACCACUACUCUAAUUACAUGCAAUAUUUAAUUACAUGCACCAUAUUAAGAUUCUAUUUUAUAACUUUAACCACUUUCCUCCUCCAUUAAUCUCCCACUCCCUCUCUUUUGUAAUUCUUUUACAUGCACCACUCCCCUCCUCCAUUAAUUAAUCUCCUACCCCCUCUCUUUUGUAACUCUUUUACAUGCACCAUAAAAAAAUAUCAUCGUCUAAUCUCCUACUCCGCACUCAUCUCCCUCUUUCUCUCAUUGUGUUAACAAAGAAGAAGAAGAAGAGCCUCUGAAGAACAUUAUCUCCUUCAAGAAGUAUCGUCCCGCGAAGCCGAGCCGCGACCUAUAUAAGUGCUCGCUGAGUCGGUCCGCGCGGGAGCCUCUGCUUACUAUGUAAAUUUAGUCAUACAAAUUAACUGUACUUAAUAUGUUAUAGCUUUCUAUAUAUCAAUAAAUCUUAAAUAUAAAAUUUAUUAAAAUUUUUAAAUUUUACUUCUAUUA